rfam:Hoeflea sp. IMCC20628, complete genome.
ACUAAAGAGGCAUUUCUCAUUGGGAAACGCCCAUUUCGCGGUCAAAGUCUUGGGAGGAUUGGAUCUCAGGCGCGCUUUGUUCGCUGCCCCCGGGUAACCGGGAAAUGGAUCACGCGAUACUUUUACAACAAGGCUUCAUGCCUUGUUUUUUUUU